AGAUACUUUUCUCACUCUACAAACAAAAAUUUUCUCUCUUUCUUACUUUACUCUCUCGAACCUUCUAGGGUUCUUUGGUAUUCAUCAAUGGAUUUAUUCACUAUUUUACAUAACAUGGUAUCAGAGCAAACGUAGUUCGAUCCUCUCCUCUCCUCAGUCCUUUGGAUCUUACCCGUUAAUGGCGUAACUCGAUUGUGUGCAUCCAUCAUUCAAUGUUGCGGUCAAAUACUCGGGUUUGUUGUACAAGACCUUGUCUCUUUCAGGUGUACGAAAGAGAACGGUAAACAGUAGUCGUAACUCUAUCUCUCUCGACAGUUAGUGAUAGCUCCAGAUUUGAACUGAAAAUGGGGAAAUUUCUUGCUCAUAACCUUAGUUGAUAUCGAUUUACUGGUUUUGUGUACAUUUUUUAGUUCUGACUCGGAUUUGCGAUCAUUGAAAGCGUAGAUUUGUACUUGUUUGUAACUGAAGCUGUUGCUCUAUAUCACUUGUGUAGAUAGUAUCUGAUUUUUGUUCUAGGGACUAUGUUAUAGUGGUCUAUCUGAUUUUUGAGCUGUAGGGAUAUGUAACUGUGACUGUUGAUUGUGAGUCCUUGUCUGCUGGAAAUAUCUGUUUUAUAGUAUCUUUCCACAUCAUUAGGAUGAUGAUUCCUCCGAGUACGAGUACUACUAGUAAUUCAACCGAUACUACUGGUUUUGAAGAAUUGACCUUGGACCCUUCUCAUCCUUAUUACAUUCAUUCUUCCAAAAGUUCUAGUCACCAGUUAGUAUCAAUUCCCUUUAAUGGUUCUGGCUUUGCUAUUUGGAGGAAUAACAUGGUCACUUCUUUAUCAGCCAAAAAUAAAUUAGGGAUGGUCAAUGAAAAAUUCCCUCGACUUGAUUCACAUAAUCCUUAUUUCCAAUUAUGGGAAAAGUGUGAUCAUAUAGUUAAGGUCUGGAUCACCAAUUCUCUUUUUAGAGAUAUUGCAGUUAGUGUGAUAUGUCUUUCCACUAUAGGGAUGUCUGGAAAGACAUCAACGAUAGAUUUGGUCAGUCAAAUAUUUCUAGAUACACACAUAUCCAAAAGAAAAUUAAUUCCAUUGUUCAAGGGUCUUGCAAUAUAGCCACAUACUUCACUAAGAUGACGUCACUCUGGGAUGAACUGAAUGCUUCUUACAUUGGUCCUGAAUACAUAUGUGGUGCAUUGCCUAAAUUCAUCCAUAACAAAUAAUUAUUUCAGUUCCUCAAUGGCUUAAAUGAGGGAUAUUCCAUUAUAAAAAGCAACACACUGAUGAUGACACCCUUGCCAUCCAUCAGUAAGGUGUAUGCUCUCCUCCAAUAAUAUGAAAGCCAAAAGGAGUCCUAGUCUGGUCCCCCUUAUUUUUCCCGUGAAUCAGCUUCAUUCAAUGCAUCUGCUUUUAUCCCUAAUCCUGGUAAUAGACCUUUUCAUCAAAAGGUCAAUUUCAACAACAAUAAACAUAAUGCAUAACUCAUGGGUCACUGAUUUGAAAGUACUGCAAGAAGCCCGGUCACAAUAUUGACACCUGUUAUAGGCUUGAUGGAUUUCCACAUGAUUUUAAGUUCACCAAGAACAAGAAAUCUUCUGCUGCUUGUGUUCAGCUGUUGGACUCUGAUAUGCAGUCUUAUCAUUCUGGUUCACAUUCUAGACCCCACAAAUUGGAUUUUGGACAUGGUUUUAGCAAGGAACAAUACCAACACCUCAUGAGUCUGUUCCAGCAAACUCAAAUCUCUCCUAUGAAUCACUCUCAACUUGACCAUGCAGAAAGUUCUGGUUUUUCUCAUUUUGCAGGUUUGUUAAACAGUUCAGUUCUUACUUUUGCUUGUUACAAUAUAUGUGCUUCAACCCAGUUACUUUCAACCUCCUGGGUACUAGACUCAGGAGCCUCUAAUCAGAUGACCCCGCAUAAACAGCUUCUUCACAACCUACAAACCCUAGGUUAUCCCUUUCUGAUUACCCUACCUAAUGGUUACAAAGUCAAGGUAGUGUCUACUGGAUCAAUAUUACUAAGGGAAGACAUUACCUUAGACAAUGUACUAUUAGUUCCCUCUUUUCAGUUCAACUUACUUUCUAUAUAUCAACUACUCAACCAACUCUCAUGCUUGGCUGUCUUUUCUAUUUCUUCUUGUAAUUUACAGGGCCCUUCUCUGAAGAAGCCACCGAAAAUUGGCAAGGCUGAAAAUGGAUUGUAUUACUACCGUGCUGAUUCUUCUGCCACUUCACAACCUGAGCAUCAGUCAAUAAAUUUUCCACCUUCUGAUUCUAAAUAUACACAUAUUUCUAAUUCUGUCAAUGUUAUUCAUGAGUCUCUAUCCGUAACUCGCUCUUCUUGUAAUUCAUCUACUGUUUCUAAUAAAAUAGGCAUAUUUUGACACCAAAGACUUGGUCACAUGCCAUAUCACAAAAUGAAAAAUAUUUCUUUUCUUCACUCUCAACUUCCUUAAACUCAAACUUUUACCUGUGAUGUAUGUCCAUUAGCUAGAAAACACAGACUCCCUUUCCCACAUAGCAGUAUCCAUUCCACUCUCCCCUUCCAACUAGUCCAUAUUGAUAUCUGGGGUCCAUACCAUACCAAAACAUACAAUGGCUUCAAAUACUUUCUUACUCUUGUAGAUGAUUUUACCAGAGUUACAUGAACCUAUAUCCUUACUUGCAAAAGUAAUGCUCUCUCAAUUCUUAAAGCUUUUGUAUCUAUGGUUAAAGUGAAUUUCAAAACUUCUGCCAAACUUUCAGAUCUGACAAUGCAUGUGAACUAGGUAGCAGUUUUGAAGAAUCAUCCUUUUUUGCUGAAAAUGGCAUCCUUCACCAAAUAACUAUUUCACACAUACCACAAUAAAGUGGUGUUGUGGAAAGAAAAUGUAAACAUCUUUUGGAAACAUCUAGAGCACUACUUUUCCAAUCCAAACUUCCUACUAUGUGUUGGGGUGACUAUGUUCUCACUGCUACUUACCUGAUCAAUAGACUCCCUUCCAAUGUCUUACACAAUCUAUCCCCUUAUGAAAAAUUUCAUGGUUCCCCUCCAUCAUAUGACUACCUAAGGUCUUUUGGCUGCUUUUGUUAUGCCACUACUCCUCUAUUUGGGAGAGAUAAGUUCUAUACCAGGGUUAUUCCUUGUAUUUUUAUUGGCUACCCAUGUGGUAAAAAGGAUUACAAGUUACUACAACUGUCUAACAAAUCCAUUUUCUUUUCUAGAGAUGUGUAUUUUCAUGAACACAUCUUCCCCUAUCCUUCUUCUUCCUCCUAUCUCUCUUCCUCCCCUUCCCCAUCAUAUUUUGAUUUCCCUCCUCCUUCUUUUACCACUCUAUUCCCUUUAUCUUAUUCAGUUCUAGAUGCUAUCUCACCUUUUUCUACCCCUCCAGUCAUACCUUUUUCUUCUGUCCCUUUAAGAAGGUCAAUUAGGCCUACAACUAUUUCUCCUUACCUAUUUGACUAUGUCUACCACUCAGCCUCCCAAACUACCUCUUUUGAAGCUCCAUCUACUAAGCCACAAUCGUAUCACCAAGUUAUCUCAUCCUGCUUGGCAGGAUGCUAUGCUUAAGGAGUUUCAGGCUCUUGAAGCUAACAACACUUGGGAUCUUGUCCCUUUAAUUCCUCAUAAAAAUUCUAUUUCAUGUAAAUAGGUAUACAAAAUUAAGCAUAAAAUUGAUGGGUAUGUUAAAAGAUAUAAGGCUCGUUUGGUUAUUCAAGGGGAUACUUAGAAAGAAGGAAUUGAUUAUAAUGAAACAUUUUCCCCUAUUGUCAAGUUCACUACUAUCAAGGUUCUUAUUUCUAUAGCCAUUAAACAUCAUUAGACUGUUUACCAAUUGGAUGCCAAUAAUGCCUUCCUCCAUUGGAAUCUUUUUGAGGAAGUGUAUAUGAAACCCCCUCUUGGAUUAGAGGUAUCUUCCUCUAUUCCAUCUCCUUCUCCUUUAGUUUGCAUACUAAAGAAGUCACUUUAUGGUUUGAAACAAACUUCGAGUCAAUGGUUCUCUAAGCUUUCUGAGGCUCUAUCUCUCUGAGGUUAUUCAUCUAGUAAAAAUGACUGUUCUUUAUUCACCAAAUCUGUUGAUGGCUCUUAUAUUGUACUUGCUGUGUAUGUGGAUGACAUCUUGCUUGCUCGGGAUGACAUCCAUGAAUUGGAUGACCUCAAGCAAUUCUUAGACUCCCAUUUCAAGAUCAAGGACCUUGGGUCAGUACAUUACUUUUUAGUUUUGGAGAUCACUUCUCACUCACAAGGUCACCUCAUGACUCAAAAAAAGUUUACUUCUGAGAUUUUACCUGAGUUCCAUUGUGAUAAUUUCACAACUGUUAGUGCUCCUCUUGAUCAUUCUAUUAAACUUACGACUGAUAUGGGGGCUCUACCCACUGAUCCAUCCAUUUAACAUUGACUUAUUGGGAAACUGAAUUUACUUCAACAUACUCGACCGAAUAUCUCCUAUUCUGUUCAGCAUUUGAGCCAAUUCCUUCAGGCUCCCCAGGUGCCUCACUUUCUUACUGGCUUUCAUGUUUUACAAUACUUAUUAAAUGCACCUGAUCAGGGAUUGUUACUUUCUAAUUCAUCUGAUAUGACAUUACUGGCUUUCUCUGAUUCUAACUAGGCUGCUUGUGCUCACUCCCAUUGGUCCAUGACUGGUUAUUUUACCAUACUAAGUGGUUCUCCUAUCUCUUGGAAGAGUAAGAAAUAAUUUUAUAACCGAGUAAAAAGUUAUGGAAAUUUCAAGUUUCAUUUGUAAAACACCAUGAUUUGGUCCCGUAUCGCAUCGCGGAGACAUGUAAAAUCAUAAUUGUCAAAUUUCAGUGAGACUCCAUGAUUGUACCACAUCGUGGAGAGGUUUAAAUUAUCAUUUGUCCAUUUCCAGUAGCUUACCACGAUGGUGGCGCAUCGCGGUGAUGGUUCAAAUGACAAUUCAGUGGGGCAAUACGAUAUCUCCCCAUCACGGAGGUUCCCAAUUUCCCAGUCGUCAAUUUCCAGUGAGCCACCACGAUAGUGGCGUAUCACGGUGGCAUGUUAAAUUGGAAUUUUUUUCUUUUUCCUGUUUUGAUUAGAAAUUUGAAGGGGCUCUUUGGUCAAUUCCUAAGUCCCCAAUUCAUGAAUAACACCAAGAUUAAACCAAUUCUAAGCCUAUUAUGCUUAUUUCAUCUAUUCACUCUCAAAAGAAAAUCCUAAAACUCAAACUUUCUCUCCAAGAAAUCCAAUUUCUCCAUUAAUUCUCCAAAAUAUUUCAAGACCAAGGAUUCAUAGUUCAAGAUUUAGGAUUUCCAAUUCAAGAACUCCAAUAACUCAUCUUCAAAAGCAUAAUAGGAAUCCAAGAUUCAAGCUUUUCAUAGAAGAUCAUCAAUUAAGGUAUGUGGGGUUUUUCAACAAAGAUAAUCCUUUCAUUCUUGUACCCAAGACUUAUUUUAUUAUAAAUUUACUGAAUUUGUAUAUGAUUUCCCAUGAAAUUCAAGUUAGGGUUUUUACCCAUUAUUGAUAUUUACAAGCUUAUGAGAUUUCCAUUACUUUAGAAGUUGAAUUGCAUGAUUAUGUUCAUAUCUUCAUGCAUAUUGCAGAAAUUUCCAGAUUUGAAGUUGAAUUAUAAAUAUUUACAUUACUAAGCAUGAAUAUUAUGUUUUAACAUGAGUUUGAUGCAUGGGUCAUUAAGCCCUAAUUAAAGAUUGCUAUUUCAAGAUUGUUUAUGCUAUGAGCACCCUAUGAUAAGAUUAUUCUUAGAUUUUUGACAAAGAUUUGACCUUUUGGUCCUAAGCUAAGAUAAAGAAUCCACAUUGUUCAUAUGACUUGAGAUUUAAAGAAAAGAAAGAGCAUAAUUGGUUUUCUUGUAAAUCCUUGUGCUAAUUUUGAAGUGGAUUUCCUAAGAUCCUGAGCAUAGGAAUAGGAGUAGUAUUUAGCACCGAGAUGGGUAUGUUAUCAAAGUUUCAUGCUCUAGAACUACGUUCCCCUAUAGGAUUAAAAUUAUUCCCACUUCUACGUGGAUGCCUAAGAUUGUGAUCACUUAAGAUAAAAAGUUUUAUUCCGAUGGCAAGGAUAGAACAAAUCUCCCGAACGUGGGUAAGAUGUUGGACUCCAUGAAUGCUUACAUGGUUUAUGUCAGUUAGAAGAACCUCCCAAAAGAAGUUCCCUACUCUUAAAACAGUCUAUUAGUUUAAAGCCUUAAGAUAAAAGCAUACGUUUUGGAAGUUAUGGUUUUAAUAUUCUUAAAGUCUUAAGAUAAAGUAUUUUCCCUUACAAAAAGCUUUUUAAGGCAUUUUCCCUAAAGCUAUAAGAUAAAGUGCUUUUCCUUACAACUUAAUAGUAAAAAUUUUCAAAAUAAUUUCUCAAAAAAGGGUAAUAGAAAACUUUUAGAAAACUAAGUGUGAAGGCUCACAUUUUAUUCAGAUUAUGCUUUACAGAAAGAUAAUAGUUACAGAUUUUAGCUUUUAGAUUUCAGAUUUAAGAGUGAGUCCUUUCCAUUUUUAGACCGUAUGAUUUAAAGAGAGAGUACAGGUACAACCUUUAGAAAUAAAUAUUAUGACUCACUAGAUUUAUAAAGUAUGAUUUGCUUCUCAUUAUUUUAGAUUUAAGAUAUUCUAGCUUGUGUAAGUCAUUUUAAUUUAGCAUGCAUUAUUUUUAUUAUGAUGAUGAGAUAAUAUUUUACUUAUGCAUUUCACCCCCAUAUACUCAGUACAUCCUCAAAUUACUGAUCCAUAUAUACGCCUAUAUGCUAUAUUGUCUUAUAAUGUAGGUAUAAGUUUUAGUACGCACAUUCAAAUUCAAAUAGUUGCAGAUUCCAGCCAGCAAAAUGAUUAGUCCUUCUGCUUCGGGGACUUUAGUUAGAUUUAUUUAUGUUCUUUACUUUAUUACUUAUAUGUAUUGAUUAGUGGUAGUUGGGAUCGCAUCCUAGCUAUCCAUAUUCAGUAUAGUAGAUGCUUUACAGAUGUCAGUCAGAUUCAGUUAUGUAUAUUUCAGUUUCGUCCCUCAAUUUUAUCAGAAUGUAAAUUUGUAUCGGUAUUGUAUCAUUAUGUAUUCCAUUAUUAUUAUGUUUCCACACAGUCAACU
rnacentral:lncRNA from 1 species